AUGGCGGCGGCGCAGCCAAAUCUCGUCGGCGGCGAGCGAUUGAGCCAAGGCGGCACUGGCGAGGAGGGCGGUGGACCCUCAGAGGUGGACAAAUGGCUAGGCAGCUCGAGCUUCCCGGCGCAGCGGUUGCAGCAGCCAUCACCGCCCGCGGCUCAUGUGGAUCCGGCGAGCUCAGAUCCGGAAGUCCGCGCGGCCAGGGCAGUGGCGAAGCGCAUCCACGCUGAUCCAGCAGGCGGCCACCAUUGGGCGUCGUCCUUUGGUGGAGUGAGCUUAGAUGAUGCGAGUUGGGACUUGAGGCUACAUUUUCAAGUAAUAGAUAAUAUGGAGAAAAAGUAUUCAGUGUCCUCAGAUAUCAGUUAUCUGGCCAUAUUAGCAUUGGUUGAGUUGGAGGGCUAUGGAAUGGAUGCAUUUCUAACUUAUGUAAAGGAAGAGGGAAAGGGGCUGGAGGGUGUGGAGGCCCUGGAUAGUGAGGAGGCAUUAGAGGAAAUGCUUGACUUAUUUGUUGAUAAUAAGGUACUGAACAUCAGUGUCAGAAAAGCUACUGAUCCAAGCCCAGCAGAUGAGGAACAGAUCCCCAUUGAUCAUGUUGGUGAACCUGUUGUUUACAGAGUUUCACAAGAAGGUGUUCUGUACCCUGCCCCUGAUGAUCCCUACAUAAACACACAGCAAAGCAGCAAUUUUAACAAGGGGAAAAAGUUGUGGAAGAAGAAGAUGUAG
rnacentral:rRNA from 1 species